UCGGCAGGUCUGGCCUUGCUGCACCGCGUCGGCGCGGGUCAGCCGGGCGAGAUUAAACCGCCGACUACACACGUAGAAGCCGCCGUUGAAACGUCACGGGACGCGGGUUCGAUUCCCGCCGCCUCCAGUC
rnacentral:tmRNA from 1 species